rnacentral:lncRNA from 1 species
GUUAGCUAGAUAUGCUCUGGUCCAUUUAAGCCUGCCUAGCUUUGUCAUCCCAUAUGCCUUUGAGGUAUUGAUGACUGUUAUGAUUGUUAUUCAUGGCUGCCAAGCUACAUUUGAGUAAGAUAAAAGUGUUUCUCGUGAUUAAAUUACCAAAAUUGAAAAACAAACUAUAUCAGGUUUAGCAAAUUGUUAGACCAUAUCAUGUAACCAUAAACUGCACUCCUCAGCUGCCAAAUCUUACCAUUUGUAUGCAUCUAAGGUUUAUUUGCAGUGCUUCUGGUUCUCCUAAACACAGAUAGUGAAGUGAAGAAUCUGAGGCCCUUUUUGACAGUGAUGGAAAAUGAUCCUGAUGUUCCAUGGCAUCUUCUCAAACUAGAAAUUCUUAUUGAAGAUAAGGAAGCAGAAGAUGAUUGAGCUUUGAUUCACGGGAUGUAAAUCCACUUUAUUGGUCACCUGUUCAAUCCAUGCUCCUUGCUGAUGAUAAACCACUUCAGGACAUGUAUAACUGCAAUCCAUUGAAUUCUUUCUGCUUAGCACUUCAGUUAGAAGUGCCACAUUCCCAAACUUUAAUGUUAGUUUAGGAGAGUUGGGAGAGCUUAUGCAAAUAGAGUGGUAUCAUGUUGAAAAAUGUCUUUUCCUUUCAGUUUGAAA